CAGUGUUACAGCUUUAUGAGAGUUUGUCUAGCAGGUUGUGGAAAUCCCCA
ensembl:snRNA U7 U7 small nuclear RNA